GCUUGUCUCAAAGAUUAAGCCAUGCAUGUCUAAGUAUAAACGAUUAUACUGUGAAACUGCGAAUGGCUCAUUAUAUCAGUUAUAGUUUAUUUGAUGGUCCUUACUACUUGGAUAACCGUAGUAAUUCUAGAGCUAAUACAUGCAUCAAUCCCCGACUUUUUGAAGGGGUGUAUUUAUUAGAUGGAAACCAAUGCGGGGCAACCCGGAAUAUGGUGAAUCAUAAUAACUUUCGGAUCGAUCGCAAGAUCGAUGCAUCAUUCAAGUUUCUGCCCUAUCAGCUUUGGAUGGUAGGGUAUUGGCCUACCAUGGCUUUAACGGGUAACGGAGAAUUAGGGUUCGAUUCCGGAGAGGGAGCCUGAGAAACGGCUACCACAUCCAAGGAAGGCAGCAGG
rnacentral:rRNA from 1 species